CCAUCGAGGAUUUGUGGCAGGUUCGAUCCCAUAGGCCUCUCACAGUGUCCCAUGCCAAAGCAAACUGUCACUCCGAACCACUGCCUGGCUUUACUUGGUGGGCUUACGGCACUGAAGUGGGUUGCACAGUG